UCCAGACUCCUACGGGAGGCAGCAGUAGGGAAUUUUGCGCAAUGGGCGAAAGCCUGACGCAGCAACGCCGCGUGAUUGAUUAAGCCCUUCGGGGUGUAAAGAUCUGUCAGUGGGGACGAAACUUGACGGUACCCACAGAGGAAGCACCGGCUAACUCCGUGCCAGCAGCCGCGGUAAUACGUAGGGGGCGAGCGUUGUCCGGAAUCACUGGGCGUAAAGGGAGCGUAGACGGCCAAGCAAGCCAGGGGUGAAAGCCCGGGGCCCAACCCCGGGACUGCCCUUGGAACUGCAUGGCUGGAGUGCGGGAGGGGCAGGCGGAAUUCCUGGUGUAGCGGUGAAAUGCGUAGAUAUCAGGAGGAACACCGGUGGCGAAGGCGGCCUGCUGGACUGCGACUGACGUUGAGGCCCGAAAGCGUGGGGAGCAAACAGGAUUAGAUACCCCUGUAUUU
rnacentral:rRNA from 1 species